rnacentral:rRNA from 1 species
UACGAAGGGGGCUAGCGUUGUUCGGAAUUACUGGGCGUAAAGCGCACGUAGGCGGAUAUUUAAGUCAGGGGUGAAAUCCCAGAGCUCAACUCUGGAACUGCCUUUGAUACUGGGUAUCUGGAGUAUGGAAGAGGUGAGUGGAAUUCCGAGUGUAGAGGUGAAAUUCGUAGAUAUUCGGAGGAACCCCAGUGGCGAAGGCGGCUCACUGGUCCAUUACUGACGCUGAGGUGCGAAAGCGUGGGGAGCAAACAGG